AACCAUAGAAACCUGCGGAGUACCUGCGGAAGGAUCAUUAUAGAGUAAUACCCCCCUUUUUUUAAAAGGGGUAGGUAGAAUCUCCAAACCCCAUGUUUACUUUUUACCUUUGUUGCUUUGGCGGGUCGUUAAAAGCUUUAAUGUGUAAAUCUUUCCAUUAAAGGCCUUUUUCCAUUGGCUUUUUUUUAAAAAAAAAGUUGAUGAGUUUACCCGUCAAAGGAUAUGAAAACUCUUGAAAUU
rnacentral:misc_RNA from 1 species